rnacentral:rRNA from 1 species
CGUAUAUUAAAGUUGUUGCAGUUAAAAAGCUCGUAGUUGGAUUUCUGGCACGAUGCGCCUGGCCCGCCUCAUUACGAGUGUGUGUGCUAGUGCGCGUCUGCCAUCCAUUUACAGAACGGUCGUACCUUUCAUUAGGCCGCGCUCGUGAUGUAAAUCUUUUACUUUGAAAAAAUUAGAGUGUUUAAAGCAGGCAUUUGCUAUGAAUACAUUAGCAUGGAAUAAUAAUCUAGGACUCUGGUUCUAUUUUGUUGGUUUCUAGUACUGGAGUAAUGAUUGAUAGGGAUAGUUGGGGGUGCUAGUAUUUAGGGGCCAGAGGUGAAAUUCUUGGAUUCUCUAAAGACUAACUUAUGCGAAAGCAUUCACCAAGGAUGUCUUCUUUAAUCAAGAACGAAAGUUGGGGGAUCGAAGACGAUCAGAUACCGUCGUAGUCUCAACCAUAAACUAUGCCAACUAGGGAUGAGUGAACGUUGCAUUUUCGACUUCAUUCGCACCUUAUGAGAAAUCAAAGUCUUUGGGUUCCGGGGGGAGUAUGGUCGCAAGGCUG